rnacentral:rRNA from 1 species
GGGCUGCAGUCGAGAAUCUUCCCCAAUGGCCGAAAGGCUGAGGGAGCGACGCCGCGUGCAGGAAGACGCUCCUUGGAGUGUAAACUGCUUUUCUCUAGGAAUACGUACGCUGAAGGUACUAGAGGAAUAAGGUGCUGCUAACUUCGUGCCAGCAGCAGCGGUAAUACGAAGGCACCAAGCGUUGUCCGGAUUUAUUGGGCGUAAAGAGUUCAAAGGCGGUUACAUAAGUCGCGAGUUAAAUCAUCAGGCUCAACCUGAUGACUGCUUGCGAUACUGUGCAACUCGAGGAUGGAAGAGGUGAGCGGAACAGCCGGUGUAGUAGUAAAAUGCGUUAAUAUCGGCUGGAACACCAAUGGCGAAGGCAGCUCACUAGUACAUUCCUGACGCUAUAUGAACGAAAGUGUGGGGAGCGAAUGGGAUUAGAUACCCCGGUAGUC